rnacentral:rRNA from 1 species
AGAACGAACGCUGGCGGCAUGCCUAACACAUGCAAGUCGAACGUGAUCCAUGACUUCGGUUGUGGUGAAAGUGGCAAACGGGUGAGUAACGCGUGGGAAUCUGCCCAGAGGUAGGGAAUAACCGCGGGAAACUGCGGCUAAUACCCUAUGUGCCCUACGGGGCAAAGAUUUAUCGCCUUUGGAGGAGCCCGCGUCGGAUUAGGUAGUUGGUAGGGUAACGGCCUACCAAGCCUACGAUCCGUAGCUGGUCUGAGAGGAUGAUCAGCCACACUGGGACUGAGAUACGGCCCAGACUCCUACGGGAGGCAGCAGUGGGGAAUAUUGGACAAUGGGGGCAACCCUGAUCCAGCAAUGCCGCGUGAGUGAUGAAGGCCUUCGGGUUGUAAAGCUCUUUCGGCGGGAAGAUGAUGACGGUACCCGCAGAAGAAGCCCCGGCUAACUUCGUGCCAGCAGCCGC